GGUCUUGUGGUGUAGUGGUUAUCACGUCUGCUUCACACGCAGAAGGUCGCCGGUUCGAUCCC
rnacentral:tRNA from 1 species